rnacentral:rRNA from 1 species
GACGAACGCUGGCGGCGUGCUUAACACAUGCAAGUCGAACGGAAAGGCCCUGCUUUUGUGGGGUGCUCGAGUGGCGAACGGGUGAGUAACACGUGAGUAACCUGCCCUUGACUUUGGGAUAACUUCGGGAAACUGGGGCUAAUACCGGAUAGGAGCUCCUGCUGCACGGUGGGGGUUGGAAAGUUUCGGCGGUUGGGGAUGGACUCGCGGCUUAUCAGCUUGUUGGUGGGGUAGUGGCUUACCAAGGCUUUGACGGGUAGCCGGCCUGAGAGGGUGACCGGCCACAUUGGGACUGAGAUACGGCCCAGACUCCUACGGGAGGCAGCAGUGGGGAAUAUUGCACAAUGGGCGGAAGCCUGAUGCAGCAACGCCGCGUGCGGGAUGACGGCCUUCGGGUUGUAAACCGCUUUCGCCUGUGACGAAGCGUGAGUGACGGUAAUGGGUAAAGAAGCACCGGCUAACUACGUG